rnacentral:rRNA from 1 species
CGCGCUCCGAACCCUAGAGAUAGGGCUUUCCCCUUCGGGGGACAGAGUGACAGGUGGUGCAUGGUUGUCGUCAGCUCGUGUCGUGAGAUGUUGGGUUAAGUCCCGCAACGAGCGCAACCCUUGAUCUUAGUUGCCAGCAUUCAGUUGGGCACUCUAAGAUGACUGCCGGUGACAAACCGGAGGAAGGUGGGGAUGACGUCAAAUCAUCAUGCCCCUUAUGACCUGGGCUACACACGUGCUACAAUGGACGGUACAAAGGGCAGCGAGACCGCGAGGUUUAGCCAAUCCCAUAAAACCGUUCUCAGUUCGGAUUGUAGGCUGCAACUCGCCUACAUGAAGCUGGAAUCGCUAGUAAUCGCGGAUCAGCAUGCCGCGGUGAAUACGUUCCCGGGUCUUGUACACACCG